rnacentral:tRNA from 1 species
GCGGGGGUCGCCAAGCCUGGUCAAAGGCGCAGGGCUGAGGCCCCUGUCCCGUAGACCACCCAGCUGGGCGGAUGGGUUCGUGGGUUCAAAUCCCACCCCCCGCA